rnacentral:rRNA from 1 species
GAUGAACGCUGGCGGCGUGCCUAAUACAUGCAAGUCGAGCGAACAGACGAGGAGCUUGCUCCUCUGACGUUAGCGGCGGACGGGUGAGUAACACGUGGAUAACCUACCUAUAAGACUUGGAUAACUUCGUGAAACCGGAGCUAAUACCGGAUAAUAUAUUGAACCGCAUGGUUCAAUAGUGAAAGACGGUUUUGCUGUCACUUAUAGAUGGAUCCGCGCCGCAUUAGCUAGUUGGUAAGGUAACGGCUUACCAAGGCAACGAUGCGUAGCCGACCUGAGAGGGUGAUCGGCCACACUGGAACUGAGACACGGUCCAGACUCCUACGGGAGGCAGCAGUAGGGAAUCUUCCGCAAUGGGCGAAAGCUUGACGGAGCAACGCCGCGUGAGUGAUGAAGGUCUUCGGAUCGUAAAACUCUGUUAUUAGGGAAGAACAAAUGUGUAAGUAACUAUGCACGUCUUGACGGUACCUAAUCAGAAAGCCACGGCUAACUACGUG